GGAAUCUGAAGGCUAGACCGUCCCAUUUCACAGCCUCGCACUUCCGGCCUUCUUGGACUUCGAAGGACCCGGCCCACGUAGACCGCGAAGGCCGGGUCCUUCGAUGGAUGCAGCCGACGUUUUGGGACACAGCUACAAAUUACCUCAGACACACAGACUGAUGCGACAAAACCAACAUGGCUGGUAAGGAGAUGAGGAGGAAACAGUAGCAGCUGUGUGAGGUUACUAAAGGCAGUGGAUCCCUCAGCAGCUGGAUUACAAAGAGCACAGCUUUGAGCACCUGCCCCUUUAAACGUCUCUGCACGGCCCUGAUUCCAGGCUUCUGUACGGGUGUUACAGUCACGUGUCUGUAGGUGGGUCUAAAAUGGAGGUUGUUGACGGAAAACGGCUCUGAUGCGGCUAGGUUGGCAUGGUAAUUACCGGCUAUCACAUGGCUACCGGCUACCGGCGAAAAUAACGGAGGAAAUCGGGACGCUUAAUCUGACCUGGAGAGACAAACAGCAAAGUGGAGCAGACUGACACAGUUACUGCAGACGUAGAUGUAGCCGUCCAUGCCAAAUCUACACCCUUGGAUUAAAUGGUUACUAUCUAAGUUAACUGGCUCCGGAGCAUGUGAUAAAGUGAUAGUAAUGUCUUAGAGGGUAAUAUUUCUAUGUGGACUAUUGGAAACAACUGAGCAUUGUUAUGAGCCUGCUUCUCUGGUAAGUGAGUAACAUGUGAUUCUGUCACCUGAGGUCCAAUAUUGCAUCGUGAAAGUGAUCUUAAAGCACUGCUAAACCCUAUCCCAAUGCAUACCAUCCUGACAUUGUCAAAAAAAAAGAAGCACGUUUGUUUAUUUUUGGUUCUUAUUGUCAUGUUUUGUCAAUGUUGGGACAACAUUUAUUUAGCAGGGGAGGAAUGUAGCACUUGGUAAAGUGUAAAGCUAAAAUAUGUCUAAAACAUUGCAGAAAUCUGUUGGUAUUUGGGCUAUUCAGCAAUAUAUUUGGGGUUUUUUGGCUGCUACAUGUUUCCACCAGUAGAGGGCAGUCAGGGCAAAAAGAAAAGAAAAAUGUUCUGUAAAAAAGGAGAGAAGAGAGUACGCUUGGGUACUGUAUGUAAAAGCCAUGGUUCUGAAGUACCCAAAUAAACUCAGUUUGCUGCUUACAAAGUUGUCCUGAAGUGGUGUAACUCGUGUCACAAAUUAUAGCAGUGAAUCUUAAUAAAACAAGUAAUUAAAGGGCAUACCUGCAUUGGUUAACUCAUUUAAAUUAUCACAACUGACACGUGUGUUUGUAUCAUCCAUGUUAGAUGACUUCCUUCUAAUCUCAAUAGAUAUUUUUUCCUGGUUAAAAAAAAAGGUUUAAUUAAAAAAUUGAAAUGCAGCA
ensembl:lncRNA